CGAACGCUGGCGGCGCGCUUAACACAUGCAAGUCGAACGCGAAAGUCACCUUCGGGUGGCGAGUAGAGUGGCGGACGGGUGAGUAUAACGUGGGUAACCUGCCCCUGAAUCGGGAACAACCCUUCGAAAGGAGGGCUAAUACCGGAUAACAUCAAGUUCACAUAAGUGUUUUUGAUCAAAGGAGGCCUCUGUUUCAUGCUUUCGUUUGGGGAGGGGCUCACGCCCCAUUAGCUAGUUGGUGAGGUAACGGCUCACCAAGGCUGCGAUGGGUAGCCGACCUGAGAGGGUGAUCGGCCACACUGGGACUGAGACACGGCCCAGACUCCUACGGGAGGCAGCAGUGAGGAAUUUUCCGCAAUGGGCGAAAGCCUGACGGAGCGACGCCGCGUGCGUGAUGAAGGCCCUCGGGUCGUAAAGCGCUGUCGAAGGGGAAGAACUGUACACUGGCUAAUAUCCUUUGUAUUUGACGGUACCCUUCAAGGAAGCCCCGGCUAACUCC
rnacentral:rRNA from 1 species